AGUUCAAAACAACGAUAUAUUAAUGCAAAAGUUGUGUGCGUGAAUAAGUGGGAAAUGAGCUUUGGCUUGUUGCCAGUGAAAUACCACUAUCAUUAUCUUUUCUUCACUUAUUCAGUAAAACGGGUACAAUAUUCGACCCUGAGCACAUGCUAGCAUGCGUGGUUUCACUGCUGGUCUCAGUAUCAUGGUCAUGCCGGAUGAGUCGUGACUCCCAUCGCGAGGCUUGAGUCUGGAUGUGACAUGCGAUCGGUUAUGAAGAUCCUGGCAAAGAGUUUGACUUGGGCAGUACAUCCGUCAAACGGCAACGCAGGUGUCCGAAGGUUAGCCCAGCCAGGACGAAAACCUGGCGUGGAAUAAGAUGACAUCUUAUUUGAUUUUGACUUUCAGUACGAAUACAGAAAGCGCGGCCUGUCUAUCCCUUUUAUUCAGAUAUUCGGUGUUCGAAGCAAGAGAUGUCAGAAAAGUUAC
rnacentral:ncRNA from 1 species